rnacentral:misc_RNA from 1 species
AACAUCGCGCACCUGCGGGAACCUGCGGAGGGAUCAUCAUUGAAUAUUCUUUUUCAAGCCUUUGGGGGGAAUUUUUCUUCUGAGGCUUGCAAACAACUUUGAUACCCAAAAAGAGAUUUUUCUUUUGGUUUUUCAGCUUGAGCUCAUUUGUUUGGGUUUGGGUUGAUGGCUAAGAGGAGAAGGGGCGAAGAGAGGAGACUCUCUCCAGCUCUGUAAAUUAUAACAAGCGGUUGCCUGAUA